rnacentral:rRNA from 1 species
GCNGNGACUGCUUACCAUGCAGUCGACGGUGAACACGGAGCUUGCUCUGUGGGAUCAGUGGCGAACGGGUGAGUAACACGUGAGCAACCUGCCCCUGACUCUGGGAUAAGCGCUGGAAACGGCGUCUAAUACUGGAUACGAGUAGCGGCCGCAUGGUCAGUUACUGGAAAGAUUUUUUGGUUGGGGAUGGGCUCGCGGCCUAUCAGCUUGUUGGUGAGGUAAUGGCUCACCAAGGCGUCGACGGGUAGCCGGCCUGAGAGGGUGACCGGCCACACUGGGACUGAGACACGGCCCAGACUCCUACGGGAGGCAGCAGUGGGGAAUAUUGCACAAUGGGCGAAAGCCUGAUGCAGCAACGCCGCGUGAGGGAUGACGGCCUUCGGGUUGUAAACCUCUUUUAGCAGGGAAGAAGCGAAAGUGACGGUACCUGCAGAAAAAGCGCCGGCUAACUACGUGCCAGCAGCCGCGGUAAUACGUAGGGCGCAAGCGUUAUCCGGAAUUAUUGGGCGUAAAGAGCUCGUAGGCGGUUUGUCGCGUCUGCUGUGAAAUCCCGAGGCUCAACCUCGGGCCUGCAGUGGGUACGGGCAGACUAGAGUGCGGUAGGGGAGAUUGGAAUUCCUGGUGUAGCGGUGGAAUGCGCAGAUAUCAGGAGGAACACCGAUGGCGAAGGCAGAUCUCUGGGCCGUAACUGACGCUGAGGAGCGAAAGGGUGGGGAGCAAACAGGCUUAGAUACCCUGGUAGUCCACCCCGUAAACGUUGGGAACUAGUUGUGGGGUCCAUUCCACGGAUUCCGUGACGCAGCUAACGCAUUAAGUUCCCCGCCUGGGGAGUACGGCCGCAAGGCUAAAACUCAAAGGAAUUGACGGGGACCCGCACAAGCGGCGGAGCAUGCGGAUUAAUUCGAUGCAACGCGAAGAACCUUACCAAGGCUUGACAUAUACGAGAACGGGCCAGAAAUGGUCAACUCUUUGGACACUCGUAAACAGGUGGUGCAUGGGUUGUCGUCAGCUCGUGUCGUGAGAUGUUGGGUUAAGUCCCGCAACGAGCGCAACCCUCGUUCUAUGUUGCCAGCACGUAAUGUGGGAACUCAUGGGAUACUGCCGGGGUCACUCGGAGAAGUGGGAUGACGUCAAUCAUCAUGCCCCUUAUGUCUGGGCUCACGCAUGCUACAUGNCGUACAAAGNUGCAUACCGNAGUGAACCGAUCCAAAAAGCNGNCCCAAAUUCGGAUUGAGGUCUG